rnacentral:lncRNA from 1 species
CUGCACUUGGCAGAACAGUUUGCAGGACUAUUAGGUGGAUGGAUUCCUUAUGUACGUUGGUGUAUAAUUACAUAAUGCAGCACAGUCCACCCCACCCCCAGGUACAAAUUGGGCUUAAUGUAAAUGCCUUACCAUCUUAAUGAGCCCCAAUACUGGCAUACCAGUUAUAUAAAGCCUCAAAAAAAGUGACAACUUUAACUUUAGCUGAAAUAGGGAAUGCCCAGGGGUAUGAUGGGGCUUUUGUUUUUGAGAUUUUUAAAAUAACUAAACAGAGGUAGUCACGGUGAGUUGUUUUCCUGUGGCUAAUAAAAAUAAACCUGGUAUGAAACAUACAUCCAAGUUAUUUCAGUGAGAAAAUGCUUUUCUAAAGUUUAAUCCUUUGCUAGAUAGACGUUUCUGGAAGCCAUAUUUGUGCCAUGUUCAGAAAGGCUAUGUUAAAUGUUCUCUGAGAUGCUAUUUAACAUUCACGCAGCCAUCUUUCGUUCUUACACACAUGACUGAGCAAGCAAAAACAGAUGAACUGAGAAUCAUCUAUGCUUGAUCAUCUUUGCUGGCAGUUAGCUACAGUGCUGGUAUAUUUAACUGGGAUUUGAAAAAUUGAUCAUCUGCUUAGUGUUGGAAGACACGGCCCAUUCAGAUCACCUCUCACAUUAUUUAAAUUUAACUUAAAGAGCUUUUUGAGCCCCAGAAUCUUGUAUUUCUGAAAAUUUCCUACAAACCCUUUAAGUUGGUGUCUUCAGUUUAGUCUACUGUGAAUAAAGAAAAACAUUCAUACAUUAAACUUUGCUUGUUCUGCACGCAAAUCAAUUGAUUUAUUACAUUUGAUAAAAGUGACAUUCUUUUUGUUUUGUGUUUUUGAGACAGGGUCUUGCUAUAUAGUUCAGACUGGCUUUGAACUCACUAUAUAACUCAGGCUGGCCUUGAACUUGUGGUGAUCCUCCUGCCUCAGCCUCCCAAGUGCUGGGAUUACAGGUGUCCAGCACCAUUCCUGGUUUUCUUUAGUAAAAGAUGAAUAAUAAAGCAGUUGUAGUCAGUGAUGUAAAAAAAUUGAAUCUGAAUAUAGUUUUCCAAAGAAAAUGAAAACCUAUAAUGACAGACAGUGGUAAAGGCUUUUCUAUAGGCAAGGGCUUCUGGCAAAGUAGGGUAAUUAAUUUCAAAGAAGUUUGGUUUGGCUCCUUGUUUAGGGAAAAUAACUAGAAUUGGCAAGAACUCCUAACUACAUCCUCAACAUGUUCUUGGUUGGAAAGUAAACCUGAAAGUUGCAUAAUGUGGACUAUUUCAAGGAUCAAGGAAGUAAUUUCACUAAAAGUACAAAGGAAAACAUAGCAAAACAGGUAGAAACCAGCCCCUGCUUACUGCCUUUGUUAGGUGUCCGUGUAAGGAGCUCAGGCUGCAGUACAUCUUGUCACCUUCCACCUCCUGUGCUGUGCGAACUUGGUCUUCAGAUGCUUCCUGUGUAGUUUCAGCUGUCACACGAAGACAGGGGAAUGCCCGGAAUUGUCCCCUUACAUCUUUCUUAAGUCCUUUUUUAUUGUGAAAAUAAAGCAUAAAUAGUCUAAAAGAAAAGAAAGUAUAGCCAAAUGAUUUUGUAUAUAAUGAAUGCUUCUGUAAAAGCAAAUCGAGUUCAAAAACCAAAACAGCAAGCCAGCCUGACUAGGAGGGCACCUUUUUAAUCACAUUCUUCCACCCAAAGAUAAUCACCACCUAGACCUAUAAGUCAGGGGAAUGUGCUACCUAACUGGCCAGGCUGUGCAGUCCACCGAGCUUGGGAGCCAC